GGUUUUGAUAAUCUGACAGAGAUUAAGAUUUUGAAGAAGUGUGAAGAAGUCUGAGAAAAUUGAAAAAUACGAUUUUGGAGUGAUAUGCGAUGCCGGCAUAAGCCUGAACGUUUGUGCAUGCCAUCCUACCUAAUUCUCAACAUUGAACUAAGGGUGAAAGUAGCUGGUCUAGGAGCUAAACAUCACUUAUAUCCAGAUCAAUCUACGCUUGUAAAAAUUAGAUGAAACUUUUUGAAACCAAUUUCAAUCGGGAGGUAGACCAGUUGGACUAUAUAUAAGCUUAUUCACAGCUUAAUGGAAUGACAACUAAUUGACAUGGAGCAGCAUUGGAAGCACGACUAUUCUCUUUGUGGAAGGUCAAUAAUACACUUUUUAAAGGAUCGAAUUAAGGGACUGACUUUUUAAAAGGGUGAUUGAAUAUAGCAUACUUGAAGGUA